rnacentral:rRNA from 1 species
GACGAACGCUGGCGGCGUGCUUAACACAUGCCAGUCGAACGGAAAGGCCCUGCUUUUGUGGGUUGCUCGAGUGGCGAACGGGUGAGUAACACGUGAGUAACCUGCCCUUGACUUUGGGAUAACUUCAGGAAACUGGGGCUAAUACCGGAUAGGAGCUCCUGCUGCAUGGUGGGGGUUGGAAAGUUUCGGCGGUUGGGGAUGUACUCGCGGCUUAUCAGCUUGUUGGUGGGGUAGUGGCUUACCAAGGCUUUGACGGGUAGCCGGCCUGAGAGGGUGACCGGCCACAUUGGGACUGAGAUACGGACCAGACUCCUACGGGAGGCAGCAGUGGGGAAUAUUGCACAAUGGGCGGAAGCCUGAUGCAGCAACGCCGCGUGCGGGAUGACGGGCUUCGGGUUGUAAACCGCUUUCGCCUGUGACGAAGCGUGAGUGACGGUAAUGGGUAAAGAAGCACCGGCUAACUACGUG